rnacentral:lncRNA from 1 species
UCGCCUUCAAUGCAACAUAAAAAACCCAAAAAAUAAGAAAUCCCACUGUAGAGAGAGAGAGUUGGGGCAUUUUAAAACGCCUUCAAUGCAACAUAAAAAACCCAAAAAAUAAGAAAUCCCACUGUAGCGAGAGAGAGUUGGGGCAUUUUAAAUCGCCUUCUUCAAUGCAACAUAAAAAACCCAAAGAGAGUUGGGGCAUUUUAAAACGCCUUCAAUGCAACAUAAAAGUGGGAGAUAAAUAACAGAUCAACUAAUAAAGUUGAUCGAAGGCAAACAGAACAUACAUUUCGCAACAUACCAAACCCCAAAACACGAUUUUUCCCCUCAUAAAUCAGGAGAAAAGCUCUAAAAUUUACAAUAUAAUAUAUAUUUAGAGAGAGGGAGAGAAUAUUUUUAGAGUGAGAAACAAGAAGCUCAGACUUUCUGGUCUCCUUUCUCGACCUCCUUAGCUGGUGGCGCCUCCUCCUUCUUCUCCUCUUUCUUCUCUUCUUUCUCUUUGGUAAGUGCAACCCCACUGUCUAGGCAACUUCGGCACCUCCUCUCGAUCCAGCCCUCGUAAUCGUGGUCGGAGUUUCCGGCCAAAUGGCGACCGCCGCAGACCCUUGCGAAUAUCCCGGCCAGGACGCCGGCAAUGGUGAUGACUGCCAGCACCACCACCAGCGUCUGUAUGGAGCCAUGGGUGGUGCCACUCGAAUGGGGAGGCUGUGGUGGUGGAGGGGGUGGUGGUUCCCAUAAAGAAACUGAGCCUCUAGACAUUGAUAGUGAGAGAGAGAGAGAGAGACAGAUUAUGCAGAAGCAAAAAUGAACUUAUUUCGGGUUUGAGAGAGAGAUUUGUUUUACAGAGACUUUGCUGAGGAGAGAGAGAAGAUUUUCUCUGGUUUGAGAGAGAGAUUUGUUUUACAGAGACUUUGCUGAGGAGAGAGAUAAGAUUUGCAGAUUCCAGAGAAAGAAAGAGCACUGGUUUGGGUCUAGAGAUAGAGAAAGAGUGCUCUGUUUCAGCAAAAGGAGAGGAGUGGGAGAGAGAGCUUGCUGUAUUUUAGGCAGUCAUGUGAGAAGGGAAAGGGCAGAAAGGGCAGGGCCGAAAAUUAUGGGCUUUUAUUCCCAGGGGCAUCCGGG